rnacentral:rRNA from 1 species
GAUUAAGUUAUUAAGGGCGCACGGUGGAUGCCUUGGCACUAGAAGCCGAUGAAGGACGUUACUAACGACGAUAUGCUUUGGGGAGCUGUAAGUAAGCUUUGAUCCAGAGAUUUCCGAAUGGGGAAACCCAGCAUGAGUUAUGUCAUGUUAUCGAUAUGUGAAUACAUAGCAUAUCAGAAGGCACACCCGGAGAACUGAAACAUCUUAGUACCCGGAGGAAGAGAAAGAAAAUUCGAUUCCCUUAGUAGCGGCGAGCGAAACGGGAAGAGCCCAAACCAACAAGCUUGCUUGUUGGGGUUGUAGGACACUCUAUACGGAGUUACAAAGGACGACAUUAGACGAAUCAUCUGGAAAGAUGAAUCAAAGAAGGUAAUAAUCCUGUAGUCGAAAAUGUUGUCUCUCUUGAGUGGAUCCUGAGUACGACGGAGCACGUGAAAUUCCGUCGGAAUCUGGGAGGACCAUCUCCUAAGGCUAAAUACUCUCUAGUGACCGAUAGUGAACCAGUACCGUGAGGGAAAGGUGAAAAGCACCCCGGAAGGGGAGUGAAAUAGAACCUGAAACCGUGUGCUUACAAGUAGUCAGAGCCCGUUAAUGGGUGAUGGCGUGCCUUUUGUAGAAUGAACCGGCGAGUUACGAUUUGAUGCAAGGUUAAGCAGUAAAUGUGGAGCCGUAGCGAAAGCGAGUCUGAAUAGGGCGUUUAGUAUUUGGUCGUAGACCCGAAACCAGGUGAUCUACCCUUGGUCAGGUUGAAGUUCAGGUAACACUGAAUGGAGGACCGAACCGACUUACGUUGAAAAGUGAGCGGAUGAACUGAGGGUAGCGGAGAAAUUCCAAUCGAACCUGGAGAUAGCUGGUUCUCUCCGAAAUAGCUUUAGGGCUAGCCUCAAGUGAUGAUUAUUGGAGGUAGAGCACUGUUUGGACGAGGGGCCCCUCUCGGGUUACCGAAUUCAGACAAACUCCGAAUGCCAAUUAAUUUAACUUGGGAGUCAGAACAUGGGUGAUAAGGUCCGUGUUCGAAAGGGAAACAGCCCAGACCACCAGCUAAGGUCCCAAAAUAUAUGUUAAGUGGAAAAGGAUGUGGCGUUGCCCAGACAACUAGGAUGUUGGCUUAGAAGCAGCCAUCAUUUAAAGAGUGCGUAAUAGCUCACUAGUCGAGUGACACUGCGCCGAAAAUGUACCGGGGCUAAACAUAUUACCGAAGCUGUGGAUUGUCCUUUGGACAAUGGUAGGAGAGCGUUCUAAGGGCGUUGAAGCAUGAUCGUAAGGACAUGUGGAGCGCUUAGAAGUGAGAAUGCCGGUGUGAGUAGCGAAAGACGGGUGAGAAUCCCGUCCACCGAUUGACUAAGGUUUCCAGAGGAAGGCUCGUCCGCUCUGGGUUAGUCGGGUCCUAAGCUGAGGCCGACAGGCGUAGGCGAUGGAUAACAGGUUGAUAUUCCUGUACCACCUAUAAUCGUUUUAAUCGAUGGGGGGGACGCAGUAGGAUAGGCGAAGCGUGCGAUUGGAUUGCACGUCUAAGCAGUAAGGCUGAGUAUUAGGCAAAUCCGGUACUCGUUAAGGCUGAGCUGUGAUGGGGAGAAGACAUUGUGUCUUCGAGUCGUUGAUUUCACACUGCCGAGAAAAGCCUCUAGAUAGAAAAUAGGUGCCCGUACCGCAAACCGACACAGGUAGUCAAGAUGAGAAUUCUAAGGUGAGCGAGCGAACUCUCGUUAAGGAACUCGGCAAAAUGACCCCGUAACUUCGGGAGAAGGGGUGCUCUUUAGGGUUAACGCCCAGAAGAGCCGCAGUGAAUAGGCCCAAGCGACUGUUUAUCAAAAACACAGGUCUCUGCUAAACCGUAAGGUGAUGUAUAGGGGCUGACGCCUGCCCGGUGCUGGAAGGUUAAGAGGAGUGGUUAGCUUCUGCGAAGCUACGAAUCGAAGCCCCAGUAAACGGCGGCCGUAACUAUAACGGUCCUAAGGUAGCGAAAUUCCUUGUCGGGUAAGUUCCGACCCGCACGAAAGGCGUAACGAUUUGGGCACUGUCUCAACGAGAGACUCGGUGAAAUCAUAGUACCUGUGAAGAUGCAGGUUACCCGCGACAGGACGGAAAGACCCCGUGGAGCUUUACUGUAGCCUGAUAUUGAAAUUCGGCACAGCUUGUACAGGAUAGGUAGGAGCCUUUGAAACGUGAGCGCUAGCUUACGUGGAGGCGCUGGUGGGAUACUACCCUAGCUGUGUUGGCUUUCUAACCCGCACCACUUAUCGUGGUGGGAGACAGUGUCAGGCGGGCAGUUUGACUGGGGCGGUCGCCUCCUAAAAGGUAACGGAGGCGCUCAAAGGUUCCCUCAGAAUGGUUGGAAAUCAUUCAUAGAGUGUAAAGGCAUAAGGGAGCUUGACUGCGAGACCUACAAGUCGAGCAGGGUCGAAAGACGGACUUAGUGAUCCGGUGGUUCCGCAUGGAAGGGCCAUCGCUCAACGGAUAAAAGCUACCCCGGGGAUAACAGGCUUAUCUCCCCCAAGAGUUCACAUCGACGGGGAGGUUUGGCACCUCGAUGUCGGCUCAUCGCAUCCUGGGGCUGUAGUCGGUCCCAAGGGUUGGGCUGUUCGCCCAUUAAAGCGGUACGCGAGCUGGGUUCAGAACGUCGUGAGACAGUUCGGUCCCUAUCCGUCGUGGGCGUAGGAAAUUUGAGAGGAGCUGUCCUUAGUACGAGAGGACCGGGAUGGACAUACCUCUGGUGUACCAGUUGUCGUGCCAACGGCAUAGCUGGGUAGCUAUGUGUGGACGGGAUAAGUGCUGAAAGCAUCUAAGCAUGAAGCCCCCCUCAAGAUGAGAUUUCCCAACUUCGGCUAUAAGAUCCCUCAAAGAUGAUGAGGUUAAUAGGUUCGAGGUGGAAGCAUGGUGACAUGUGGAGCUGACGAAUACUAAUCGAUCGAAGACUUAAUCAA